rnacentral:rRNA from 1 species
GUGAGGAAUAUUGGACAAUGGGCGCAAGCCUGAUCCAGCCAUGCCGCGUGCAGGAAGACGCAUCUAUGGUGUGUAAACUGCUUUUGUACGGGAAGAAACACUCCCUCGUGAGGGAGCUUGACGGUACCGUAAGAAUAAGGAUCGGCUAACUCCGUGCCAGCAGCCGCGGUAAUACGGAGGAUCCAAGCGUUAUCCGGAAUCAUUGGGUUUAAAGGGUCCGUAGGCGGUUUAAUAAGUCAGUGGUGAAAGCCCAUCGCUCAACGAUGGAACGGCCAUUGAUACUGUUAGACUUGAAUUACAAGGAAGUAACUAGAAUAUGUAGUGUAGCGGUGAAAUGCUUAGAUAUUACAUGGAAUACCAAUUGCGAAGGCAGGUUACUACUUGUGGAUUGACGCUGAUGGACGAAAGCGUGGGGAGCGAACAGGAUUAGAAGCCCCGGUAGUCC